CCAAAACCUGCAGCCACACCAGCCCUUUUCUGGUAAGACUGGACACCCCUGACACAUUGCCUUUCAGAAACUGCACCAGGAUUAUAAGGAUUGGAAGCUACCGAAGGUGCAUGUCCCACGGCUGCUGGAUACACAGAUUAGCAAGGACACUAGCAGAAUAAAUCAUAUUGAAUGACCAGACAUAUCUCAUUAAACAGCCCUCCUCUGAGAUCCCUCAUCCAAGCCUUCAUUUUCUGGUCACCUGAGUCCAUUGGAAGGGGCCGAACCAGACAUGAAGUAACACACAAAGCGCAAUGGAGGCUGCCAGGCUGAACAGAGCCUGAAACAGAGCCUGAAAGGGGGCAGAAGGAGAUGAACAAUUGUCCGGCCUGAAUGGGCCAGUUAAAAAACAAGGCGGGGAGAGGCUGUUGCUCCAACAGUGCCUCAGCCAGGGAGUGGGGAGCGUGGAGCCAUGUCCCCCAGAGGAGAACCCCCCCCCCCCCCACAACUCAGAUCAGGCAGACGGGUGGAGCAGGCUUUGUCACGUCUCUCUAAGAGACACCUCCAAAAUUAUAAAUAAAUCCUAUAGCAAACGCA